rnacentral:rRNA from 1 species
GGACAUCAGGAGGUUAGUGCAAUGGCAUAAGCCAGCUUGACUGCGAGCGUGACGGCGCGAGCAGGUGCGAAAGCAGGUCAUAGUGAUCCGGUGGUUCUGAAUGGAAGGGCCAUCGCUCAACGGAUAAAAGGUACUCCGGGGAUAACAGGCUGAUACCGCCCAAGAGUUCAUAUCGACGGCGGUGUUUGGCACCUCGAUGUCGGCUCAUCACAUCCUGGGGCUGAAGUAGGUCCCAAGGGUAUGGCUGUUCGCCAUUUAAAGUGGUACGCGAGCUGGGUUUAGAACGUCGUGAGACAGUUCGGUCCCUAUCUGCCGUGGGCGCUGGAGAACUGAGGGGGGCUGCUCCUAGUACGAGAGGACCGGAGUGGACGCAUCACUGGUGUUCGGGUUGUCAUGCCAAUGGCACUGCCCGGUAGCUAAAUGCGGAAGAGAUAAGUGCUGAAAGCAUCUAAGCACGAAACUUGCCCCGAGAUGAGUUCUCCCUGAGACUUAGAGUCUCCUGAAGGAACGUUGAAGACGACGACGUUGAUAGGCCGGGUGUGUAAGCGCAGCGAUGCGUUGAGCUAACCGGUACUAAUGAACCGUGAGGCUUAACCUU